rnacentral:rRNA from 1 species
UGUAGCAAUACAGCAGUGGCAGACGGGUGAGUAACACGUGGGAACCUUCCUAGGGGUACGGAACAACUCAGGGAAACUUGAGCUAAUACCGUAUACGUCCGUAAGGAGAAAGAUUUAUCGCCCCUAGACGGGCCCGCGUAGGAUUAGGUAGUUGGUGAGGUAACGGCUCACCAAGCCUACGAUCCUUAGCUGAUCUGAGAGGAUGAUCAGCCACACUGGGACUGAGACACGGCCCAGACUCCUACGGGAGGCAGCAGUGGGGAAUCUUGGACAAUGGGCGCAAGCCUGAUCCAGCCAUGCCGCGUGAGUGAAGAAGGCCUUCGGGUUGUAAAGCUCUUUUACCAGGGACGAUAAUGACGGUACCUGGAGAAUAAGCCCCGGCAAACUUCGUACCAGCAGCCGCGGUAAUACGAAGGGGGCUAGCGUUGUUCGGAAUUACUGGGCGUAAAGCGCACGUAGGCGGAUUGUUAAGUCAGAGGUGAAAUCCCGGAGCUCAACUUCGGAACUGCCUUUGAUACUGGCAAUCUAGAGUCCGGAAGAGGUUAGUGGAAUUCCCAGUGUAGAGGUGAAAUUCGUAGAUAUUGGGAAGAACACCAGUGGCGAAGGCG